rnacentral:tRNA from 1 species
GCCGAAGUGGUGGAACUGGUAGACACGCUGUCUUCAGGUGGCAGUGCCUUCGGGUGUGGGAGUUCGAAUCUCCCCUUCGGCACCA